UACGUAGGGUGCAAGCGUUGUCCGGAAUUAUUGGGCGUAAAGAGCUCGUAGGCGGUUUGUCGCGUCUGCUGUGAAAACUGGGGGCUCAACCCCCAGCCUGCAGUGGGUACGGGCAGACUAGAGUGCGGUAGGGGAGAUUGGAAUUCCUGGUGUAGCGGUGGAAUGCGCAGAUAUCAGGAGGAACACCGAUGGCGAAGGCAGGUCUCUGGGCCACUACUGACGCUGAGAAGCGAAAGCAUGGGGAGCGAACAGG
rnacentral:rRNA from 1 species